rnacentral:rRNA from 1 species
UGCAACCUCGUGCACGCUACGGUGGUUAUACGGAGGGUGCGAGCGUUUUCCGUAAUUAUUGGUGUUAAAGGGGCCGUAGGCGGUCUUAUAAGUUCGUGGUUAAAGCUCCUAGCUCAACUAGGAAACUGCCAUUGAUACUGUAGGACUUGAAUUUUUGUGAAGUAACUAGAAUAGGUAGUGUAGCGGUGAAAUGCUUAGAUAUUACAUGGAAUACCAAUUGCGAAGGCAGGUUACUAACAAACGAUUGACGCUGAUGGACGAAAGCGUGGGGAGCGAACAGGAUUAGAUACCCCAGUAGUC